GACGAACGCUGGCGGCGUGCCUAAUACAUGCAAGUAGAACGCUGAAGAGAGGAGCUUCCUCUUCUUGGAUGAGUUGCGAACGGGUGAGUAACGCGUAGGUAACCUGCCUUGUAGCGGGGGAUAACUAUUGGAAACGAUAGCUAAUACCGCAUAACAAUGGAUGACACAUGUCAUUUAUUUGAAAGGGGCAAUUGCUCCACUACAAGAUGGACCUGCGUUGUAUUAGCUAGUAGGUGAGGUAAUGGCUCACCUAGGCGACGAUACAUAGCCGACCUGAGAGGGUGAUCGGCCACACUGGGACUGAGACACGGCCCAGACUCCUACGGGAGGCAGCAGUAGGGAAUCUUCGGCAAUGGGGGCAACCCUGACCGAGCAACACCGCGUGAGUGAAGAAGGUUUUCGGAUCGUAAAGCUCUGUUGUAAGUCAAGAACGGGUGUGAGAGUGGAAAGUUCACACUGUGACGGUAGCUUACCAGAAAGGGACGGCUAACUACGUG
rnacentral:rRNA from 1 species